GCGAGUGGAUGCCAAUCCCAAAACCUCUCUCAGUUCGGACUGGAGUCUGCAACCCGACUCCACGAAGCUGGAUUCGCUAGUAAUCGCGCAUCAGCCACGGCGCGGUGAAUACGUUCCCGGGCCUUGUACACACCGCCCGUCAAGCCAUGGGAGCCGGGGGUACCUGAAGUGCGUAACCGCGAGGAGCGCCCUAGGGUAAAACUGGUGACUGGGGCUAAGUCGUAACAAGGUAAC
rnacentral:rRNA from 1 species